rnacentral:rRNA from 1 species
CCCUUAGAGUUUGAUCCUGGCUCAGGACGAACGCUGGCGGCGCGCCUAACACAUGCAAGUCGAACGAGAGAUGAGGAGCUUGCUCUUCAAAUCGAGUGGCGAACGGGUGAGUAACGCGUGAGGAACCUGCCUCAAAGAGGGGGACAACAGUUGGAAACGACUGCUAAUACCGCAUAAGCCCACGGCUCGGCAUCGAGCAGAGGGAAAAGGAGUGAUCCGCUUUGAGAUGGCCUCGCGUCCGAUUAGCUAGUUGGUGAGGUAACGGCCCACCAAGGCGACGAUCGGUAGCCGGACUGAGAGGUUGAACGGCCACAUUGGGACUGAGACACGGCCCAGACUCCUACGGGAGGCAGCAGUGGGGAAUAUUGCACAAUGGGGGAAACCCUGAUGCAGCGACGCCGCGUGGAGGAAGAAGGUCUUCGGAUUGUAAACUCCUGUUGUUGAGGAA